UACGUAGGGACCAAGCGUUGUUCGGAUUUACUGGGCGUAAAGGGCGCGUAGGCGGCUUGACAAGUCACUUGUGAAAUCUCCGGGCUUAACUCGGAACGGCCAAGUGAAACUGUCAUGCUAGAGUGCAGAAGGGGCAAUCGGAAUUCUUGGUGUAGCGGUGAAAUGCGUAGAUAUCAAGAGGAACACCUGAGGUGAAGACGGGUUGCUGAGCUGACACUGACGCUGAGGCGCGAAAGCCAGGGGAGCAAACGGG
rnacentral:rRNA from 1 species